CCAAUAGCGUAUAUUAAAGUUGUUGCAGUUAAAAAGCUCGUAGUUGAAUUUCGGGAUUCUACCGUUGGUCAGGCUAACAAGUCUGUACUAGUGAGUAGAAUUCCUACCUUCUGGGGAACUAUCAUGUUAUUUAUUUAGCGUGGUGGGAAACCAGGACCUUUACCUUGAAAAAAUUAGAGUGUUCAAAGCAGGCUUACGUCUGAAUACAUUAGCAUGGAAUAAUAAAAUAGGACGGUGGUCCUGUUUUGUUGGUUUCUGAAUCACCGUAAUGAUUAAUAGGGAUAGUUGGGGGCAUUAGUA
rnacentral:rRNA from 1 species